rnacentral:rRNA from 1 species
UGGGGAAUAUUGCACAAUGGGGGAAACCCUGAUGCAGCGACGCCGCGUGAACGAAGAAGUAUUUCGGUAUGUAAAGUUCUAUCAGCAGGGAAGAUAAUGACGGUACCUGACUAAGAAGCACCGGCUAAAUACGUGCCAGCAGCCGCGGUAAUACGUAUGGUGCAAGCGUUAUCCGGAUUUACUGGGUGUAAAGGGAGCGCAGGCGGUGCGGCAAGUCUGAUGUGAAAGCCCGGGGCUCAACCCCGGUACUGCAUUGGAAACUGUCGUACUAGAGUGUCGGAGGGGUAAGUGGAAUUCCUAGUGUAGCGGUGAAAUGCGUAGAUAUUAGGAGGAACACCAGUGGCGAAAGGC